GAUGAACGCUGGCGGCGUGCCUAACACAUGCAAGUCGAGCGAUUCUCUUCGGAGAAGAGCGGCGGACGGGUGAGUAACGCGCGGGUAACCUGCCCUGUACACACGGAUAACAUACCGAAAGGUAUGCUAAUACGAGAUAAUAUACUUUUAUCACAUGGUAGAAGUAUCAAAGCUUUUGCGGUACAGGAUGGACCUGCGUCUGAUUAGCUAGUUGGUAAGGUAACGGCUUACCAAGGCGACGAACAGUAGCCGACCUGAGAGGGUGAUCGGCCACAUUGGAAAUGAGACACGGUCCAAACUCCUACGGGAGGCAGCAGUGGGGAAUAUUGCACAAUGGGCGAAAGCCUGAUGCAGCAACGCCGCGUGAGCGAUGAAGGCCUUCGGGUCGUUAAGCUCUGUCCUCAAGGAAGAUAAUGACGGUACUUGAGGAGGAAGCCCCGGCUAACUACGUGCCAGCAGCCGCGGUAA
rnacentral:rRNA from 1 species